CAACAUCAUAAUAAUUUAAUUUAUAAACAGGGCUACAUUCUGUCACUGCAAAUAAUGAAUCACUGAAGUCUUGCUCAUAUUUUUUGUAAAAAAUACAGCGCAACUCUGAGAUGCAAACAAUGUCACCUGUUUUGAACUUAAAAGCAAUUGCUUUCUUUCUACGAAAGGGAAACAAACCAUAAAGAUUUUUAAAGACUUCAAAUGUGUUGUCUAAUGUGACGUGUAAUGGGCUCAUGCAUAUGCUUUUAUGUUAGCUAUUAUUGUAACUCAUUACCAGGGGGGUAUGCCAUCAAGAAAAUCCAGGCUUAUUCCAAUAAGUCUGGCUAAUUUAAGUGAGAUUUCCGUUCCAUUACUGUGGCUUAUAGGAGUCCCUGCUCAGCAACCAAGGUAACUUAUACCUCUGAACUAGCCUGCUCCUUCGCAGGCUAACUGUCAUGCUUAAUUUAGCUGUGUUUCUAAGAAUGUCCAGCAGGCGGGAAGAGAACCCAAAAAGACUGUUCCGUGUAUUUUCUCGCUCGCAUCCCUUUUGUCCUGUCCGUGUUCGGAAACAUAAAAUGUUUCUGUCAUUGUAACCAAGCAUUAAUUGACAUGUUUAAUUUAGUUCGAAAGAACAUAUCAAUAGAAAUAAACAAGCUAAGAAAAGCAUGUCUUACUACUUUCACUGUCUUCAAAAGCCAAUAGUUAAUUGAUAUAGGCCUAGACUAUGGCUGAAUCUCAAAUCACGGUAAAGUACUUACUGUUUAGUAUAUAGUAAGCUAUUAGCCAGUGAGCAAUCACUGGCGCGCCGCCGGCGGCUAUAAUGUCGUACAGCCAGCGGGCCACCAGCUUUUGCCGCUUUUCUCCUGAUCUCAAUUUGCAUAAGCUAAUUUGCAUCUCAGGCGGCUUUCCACCAGCGUCCCGACUGCGUUACGCUGGCGGCUAGCCGCAGAUAAGAGGACGUGCGCUUUAGUCUGCUGUAUCUGCUUGUGUUGCCAUUUUCUUCCAGCAGAGAUGCUAUUGUACCCUUUUCAUUCUUGUACUGAUUAUUUGAUUUAUUUUAAUAUUGUUAACCAGAAUUUUGGUCAACAUUAGUAGUUUAUUAAAUAAAAUAGACUUUGACUAUUGUACUAUUUCUUGUGUAAAGGACCUUUGUGUAGACACAUCUCGCGAUUGCUUACCAUAAUAUUUUCACGAACUAAUGGCCAUUUUUCACUACAUGGUACCAGCUCAACUCGUCUAUAGCCUCGACUUUAAUGCUUCAUGGGGACCGUUCUUUACUGUGUUUAAACACCCGUGUGUCCGUAGAUGGCACUAUAGUAGCAAAUUGCACAUGUGAAAGGCAAGACCAUGAGGCUAUGGGUAAGACAGCCAUUUGGAUUCCACGCUGUUGUACCGUGCAAACUAGAACAUUCAUUUUAGCGACUUGGUUCUUUUGUCAACUCUUGUUCAAAGUGUAUAAGCUAUAUGCUCUGAAUUGGACAAUACAACAUGUGGAUUUACAAAUUGUUUUACUACAAUUUGAUGAACUCCCGAAACAAACGAAGAUCAAGGAUUUUUUGGACAUCAGACCGCCGAGUCACCUAUAUAGCUAUGGUGAGUUCUGUUUCUGCGAUAUUAUAAAUAACUAGCGUUAAGUGUUGUUAGGUUACUGAGUAAGAACUUUAUUACUGUUUUGUAUUAAACAAUGACUGUUUGCAAUAUUAUAUUAACAUUCAAAUUCUUUAGUCAAGUUACUGGUAGCUGAACGCAAGUUCUAAACCAUUGGCGGGGAAACAAGUUAUAGAAACUGAGCUUGAAAAAAAACACGUUGUCCUGAGAUGAAAUACCUACAGUGACCAUUGUUUCUUCUUGUGUCCCCAAGUUUGGUUGCUUACUAUUUUUUGUUUCUUCGUUUAUCCUGAAGUUCGGAUGUUUUGUGCUUCUUCGCAUAUCAACAGUUGAACAGGUGAUGAUGUUUUCUGUAGUUUUGUUCCCAAUGGAGGAUGACUGUGUGGCAGCAGUUCCACGCCAGGAUGGAGCAAGCACAGUACUCCAAGGCACCAGAGAGUUACUCCACCCCACCAUGUAGAGGAUGGCUACAUAGGUAUGUGUGGGUUCAUUCACUUAACUUAGAUGCUUAACUUGUUAUUAAAGCAUGUUGUUUCCAAUUUUAUUUGUCAAUUUAUUUUUGAGGGCAAGAAGGCAGAGGUAAGGAGAAGUUUUAGCUCUGCACAUGAAGGUAAGAAUGACCAUUUUGGUGGACACUGCGAUUUGAGUUCUGAUUGUAAAAUAACCAGAUAUUUAGGACUGAAUAAUUAACUGUCUGUCUUUACUUUCAGAACAUUUGGAGAUCAAGCGGCUGACUGAAGAGAAGGUCGAGCUGAGGGCACAGCUGGCUCUACAAUCAGGACUAUACUUCUGAUAAACGUCUGACUGAAAAGGAUGUCAGGCUGCGGGCACAGCUGCCUCUACACUCAGGAGCCAUAAGGAAGAAUCUUUCCAACCGGGAUGCCACUGAUGA
ensembl:lncRNA